UUGGUAAUCAGGUUCUGGACUGAUUGGCCUCUGCUGCUGAUGAUGACUCUGCUGCAACACGGUGUACAAAGCUUGUCUCAGCUCACUUAGUCCGUGUCAUGCUGCUUAAUAAAGCUAAAUUGCUCCUACAAACAGAACACUAUUCUGUGGCCUUUUAGAACUCAGAGACAGUUUAAAAAUACCAUUUUUCCGUAACAUUCGUCUGAUUCAGUUAGAAACUUGGGAAGGCAGGAAUUUUCCAUGUGGCCAUAAAGCAAUACAGUGGAGCGAGCCUGCAGGUGAAGAGGCUGCUUCCUCCUACAGCGGUGAACAUCUGCAGUAACUGAACAUCUGCAGUAACUCUGUUUGAUUGGCACAGUUGUGUGAGUGGAGUAGCUGUAGGAUUCUGUCUGGGGUGAGGCUGUAGGUUUAUAAACCAGUUUAUCCAAGUUUAAUGUAUAUAAAUAUUGAGAAAUGUUUGAAAUGCAGUAUUUGCUAUAUGUAAACAUGGUUUUCUGUUACAUCCAUAUAGUUCAGAGUUGGCCUUUGUCAAAUAUUUCUUUAUUGAAUUGGCACUCCUUUAUUUUACUUUUUAUGCAAGAAAAUAGCUUUUCUGUGAAAUGGCUUAUUCUUUGAAGUGGCUGGUCUGAAAAAGUUCAUUGUACAGUCAAUAUUUACAGAUGCUGUUUAUACUCCCUUUCUCUCAAAAUACAUGGCUUUUUAUUCUAUUGCUUUCAGUGAAGCCCAUAUUUGUAGUCCCUAACAAUAAUACAUUUUCAUGCAUCGUUGGCAAUACAAGGCUUCAUUUAGCUUAUCGAUUAACAUUCUUACUGUAUUAGGACUUGUUACUGUUUCAUACCUUCAAAUUGUUUGGUGAUUUCAAGAAUUGACCUUUGCAGAUUUACAGUACGUAAGCAAUUAGCCAGUAAUAGAUUAAAAUUAAUAAAGAAGACUUCUAUCAAAUCCUAGGCCUUCACAAAUCUAUCAUGGCAUGAUACUGUCCAUUUCUUUGUUUGUAUUAUGCGCAGCUGCUGUUAUGAGCUGAAGUCCACGUGUGGUAAAUCAUGCUGAAGACCCUUGAGUUCCACGCAGGAAGAAGAUGCUGCACGACAAGUUCACAAUUUGCCAGACACCUUACAUCUCUGCUGGCUUCAGGAAGGUAAUGCUGUAGCAUUACAGGGAACAAAGCUCUGCCUGGGCACAGGGGUGGCAAGCAGAGGAGCCAACGCUGUCAAACACAGCCCUGAGACGAAAGAUGAGAGGUUUGCACCAGGAGCAACAUCAGCCCUUUACUGAGGCUGCAUCUGCUGUCAGAGAAGUGCUCUGGUCCAUCCUCCCCAGCUGAGACUCAAGAGAUACCAGAAAAUGGACAAAUUUGCCCUGAGCGUGAUUUUACUCAUUUUGGCUCAGCUCCAUUAAUGGAUUAAACCAUGGUUCAUUAAGCAGUGGCUACUGUGGAAGUUACGGUAAUGUUUUGAGAGAGGCAGCCUGGCAGCCAGCAGCACAGCGUGGUGCAUGGGGACCCAAGUGCAGCCCCGGUUCCCGGGAGAGCUGGCAUCCCAAAAUGCCUGUGCUGUCAGGUGCUUGUUUGUUCAGUCUCUUGCUUUGAAACUAAAAUUAGUGAGUGGGAAGCCUCACUCUCUUUUCUGUUUUGUUUUCCUGUUGUUGUGGAUGUUCUUGAGUAGCAUUGCCUGUAAUAAAGCAGUGCCAAGUUUAGCAUCUGUACCUCAUCAUGGAUCGAAAGGCUCUCGUAAGCGUGAAGGACAGAUCCUGCUGAGCCUGGCUGAGGUGAAGCACACCUUGCUCUGCCUUUCCAUGUCCUCUCUGCAAGGGUGUGGUUAGAUCCCUCUCUUCUGUGGUGCUAGAAAUUGUGCUUUUAUGUUUCACCUUCCUCAAAACCAGAAUCUAAGGAAAGGCUUGUAUGGAGCAGGGUGUGUGCUUGUGUGUGCCACCUGCCUGUGCCUAAUUAAAAGGAGGCAGCUGGAGCUGCAGGACCAAACCAGGAGGGUUUCCUUCAAGUGUUGGUACCACAGCCCAAGUGCUGUGUGGAUGCUCAACCCCUGUCUGCAUGGUCAGGUUUGAUGGCACUGAGGUCCUACAGCUCCAUGCUUUUCUUUUGCUCUCUCUGGGCUAAAUGAGCUUUAGGCUUAAAGGGAAUUUUAGAAAUAGUUGUCUUACAAUCAGAAAAGUUGUUUUUUUCCAUAUCUUAAUCUUGGUUAAAACCAGUUAGGAGUUUUCUGGUGAAAAAUGAAACUUUUUGAAAUUGGCUAAAAGCUGGGAGGCAACUGAAUGCAUGAUGAAAGGCAAUGCUGGUGAAAGAAAAACCCCCCUGAGCAGAGGCGGGUUCUACAUGGCAGUGGGGUGCAGUGGGACAGGCGUACCCAGCCCGGGGUGAUGGGCUGGGAGGUGGUCUGGCACACCCUCAGCCCCACCAUAGUGGCAGGCCCUGUGGAUGGGCACCCCAGAGUGCCACGGUCAUGGCAGCAAGUGAUGGGGCUUCACUCGAGGUUUGAAGUACACAAAUUGCAUUGCUUUUGAAAGUCUUGCUUUUACAUUCUAAACAAGGAAUUAAAUCAGUAUGUGAGCUAUUUCUCUGUGUUUAUGCUGAAAUAUUACAGUGGAAGUGUUCUGACCCAGACAAGCUAGAGUACUAAUUUUUCUUAAAUGCUUUUGUAGACAAAAAACUAUAACUUAUUUUGUGUUGUAUGUCUGAGAGGCUGUACAAAAGAGUUAAAAUUGAAGGACAGGAAGAAUUUUUAAAAAAAGGACCUCUGUCUGUUCAGAAUGAUUCAAGCUUAAAGAUAGGAUACUGCUGCAUUUUCACUUCAAGCAUCACUUCAUCAAUAUUUCUGACAUUUUGGAAUAGCAGAGUGAAAAAAAUACAGGGAUCUCUUCAAUCUGUUGAAAAAUAUCUUCCUGGUGUUCUACCAGAGUGCUGAAAGACAUUACAAGGAAAUAUGUAUAUAUAUAUAGAUACAAAACCAUAUAUAAAUAUUAAUCUUUAUUAGAGACCAAGUUCUGGGGAAAACAAUAUGACAAGCACAACUACUGUAAAUGGUACAAAUCCAUUAAAGCUUACAAGUACCAGGAGCUGCUUUUGUGUUGAAUAAAAUUUCACAAAACCUAAGGUUGCCUCCAAACACAGAACUAACCCGAGAGUUUGGAUUUAACACUGACUGGACCUGUCAUAUUUCCUCUUAAUGAGGCUCAGUUCUGAAGAAAAGGAGGAAAUGAAAAUGGUUGGUGUGAUAAGCUGUACAACGCAGUAAUUGGGUCAAGCUGAGACACUGGUGGCCUUCAGGAGCAGAAGAAUAAAUUUGUAAGCAGG